UGCCACCGAACACAACAUGCCAAAUUUUGAUUUUGAGAAGCAUCCAAACACUUCCACACAAGCAAAUGCCAAUUGUGAAAGAGAUCAUGCCAUGGCAGCUAUAAAUAGGCCCGUAGCAUGACGAUCAUCCUUCCUCAUCCAUCAUUCUCAUAAGUAGAGCGCAUCAUUUAAGCCAAGCAAGCAGUGCUCAAUACAAAUCCACCAUGAAGACCUUUCUCAUCCUUGCCCUCCUUGCUAUUGUGGCGACCACCGCCACAACUGCAGUUAGAGUUCCAGUGCCACAAUUGCAGCUACAAAAUCCAUCUCAGCAACAGCCACAAGAGCAAGUUCCAUUGGUACAAGAACAACAAUUUCCAGGGCAGCAACAACCAUUUCCACCACAACAGCCAUAUCCGCAGCCGCAACCAUUUCCAUCACAACAACCAUAUCUGCAGCUGCAACCAUUUCCACAGCCGCAACUACCAUAUCCGCAGCCGCAACCAUUUCGACCACAACAACCAUAUCCACAGCCGCAACCACAGUAUUCGCAACCACAACAACCAAUUUCGCAGCAGCAGCAGCAGCAGCAGCAACAACAACAACAACAACAACAAAUCCUACAACAAAUUUUGCAACAACAACUGAUUCCAUGCAGGGAUGUUGUAUUGCAACAACACAACAUAGCGCAUGGAAGCUCACAAGUUUUGCAAGAAAGUACUUACCAGCUGGUGCAACAAUUGUGUUGUCAGCAGCUGUGGCAGAUCCCCGAGCAGUCGCGGUGCCAAGCCAUCCACAAUGUUGUUCAUGCUAUUAUUCUGCAUCAACAACACCACCACCACCAACAACAACAACAACAACAACAACAACAACCGUUGAGCCAAGUCUCCUUCCAACAGCCUCAGCAACAAUAUCCAUCAGGCCAGGGCUUCUUCCAACCAUCUCAGCAAAACCCACAGGCCCAGGGCUCUUUCCAGCCUCAACAACUGCCCCAGUUUGAGGCAAUAAGGAACCUAGCGCUACAGACGCUACCUGCAAUGUGCAAUGUGUAUAUCCCUCCAUAUUGCACCAUUGCUCCAUUUGGCAUCUUCGGUACUAACUGAGAAGAGAAGAACUCUAGUAGUAGAUAUAUGAUACACCGUUUUCUUAGUCCAUGGUUUGGUCGUUGUAGCGGUGAAAAAAUAAAGUGACAUGCACUAUCAUGUAAGAACCUGAACUAUACUAGUUCAAACUUGGGAAUAAAAGACAAACACAGGUCUUGUCUACAUAUGAUUGUUUGUUUGAGUUCCACUCAUGUGCCCAUUCACAAGUUCACCCCUAAUUAUAUAUAUUAUGCAUUAAGUAGAUAUUUAUGUUGCAUUAAUCUAAAGAUAACAAAAUGAGUCUGAAAUUUGAAUUAAAUUGAAGUAUUUCCUUGGACUUUCAAAUGGAGUAUUAUUAAAGUAGUAAGGACUAUCCACAUCCUUGGCUUGCCCUUGAUCAAUUAUUUGCUGAGAAGCAUUCAAUUCGUCAAUCAAUUACAUUGAUUUUUGUGGCUGGUACUUCUCCUCAACAUGAGUAUAUUCAUCGUGGCUACUCCAAAUCGGCAUGAAUGAGGUACCGGUGCUCUGGAGCACUAGUACCUAACAGCUUCUCAUGUGAAGGGGUGCGGGCACGGGAGAGGUGUUUUUGGUGGGUCAAGGGAGUAAGAAGCGGCCGUGGCAGCGGUCCAGACGCCCACAAAGCCUCGUAGUUUGUUUUUGGUUUACAGGAAAAUGCACAUCCAGACUGGCCUGCGGGCCGAUAUAGGACCGUAUUGGAUGGCAAAACAUGUCCAGAUGGUUGUGAGCGGUUUGAGGGUUAGCUUUUGUAACGCCCGGUUAGUUAUGCUAUGGUAGUUCCCUGCUAAUGAUGUCACGUCACCACGAUUACUGUUGUUAACCUCACAAUGAUUCAAUCCCAUUCAAAUCCAAAUUUAAAAUAAAGGCAAACAUCAAAAGUUUCAAACAUUAAAACUAAAAUCUUCGAGAGGUGAAAAAUAAUGCAUAAGUAAUUAUGGUGGAGAAACCACACUUUUAUAAAAUGUUUAAAUACUCUAAAAGGAAUAAAACAGUGGCUUAAACUAUUAUUUAAAUGCUUUUAAAAUAGUAAAAAUGUUCUAACUAAAUUAAUUGGGUACCAAACUUUUGGUGGCAGUGGUAUAUUUAGUAGAAAAAAUUUAGAUGCUAAUUAUAUAAUUUACAAAAUUAAAGUAAAUUAAAAAAUAGGAUAAAACAUAAAAGGAAAGACAAAACAAAUAAAAGCAAAAGGGGGCAACCCCUCACUGAGCCUCGGCCUAGCUGGCCACUAGGCUAGCUAGGCCGGCCCAGCCGCCUCCCUUAACCCCCCACUCCCCAUCGAACAAUAGCCCGAUCGCCCCACUUCCCCCACACCCCCUCGUCAGCCUCCCCACCUCUCGAUCCCAUCUGGAUCGGGGAGGGGAUCGCCCCCAUCGACCCCGUCGCCAUCGCCGGAUCACCCGCUCGCCCAUCGCCCGCCGGCGUCGCCGGGCCUCCUCCCCGCCGCCCGUCUCCGGCUCUCCUCCCCUCUCGCUCCUCUUCCCCGACCCGAUAUGGAUCGAGAAGGGGCAAUGAGCCCGACGCCCCCCUCCACCGACGUUGUGCGCCAGCACCGCCACCCGAAGACCUCGUCGUCGCCGGACCUCGCGUCGCCUCCUCGUAUCUCUCCCCGACUCGCCUCCUCAAGCCACGCCGACCCCCUUCUCGGCAACGCUGUGAGCCGCCCCCGUUUCCCUCCUUCUCUUUCCACCGUGUUUGAUAAGUCUCCAACGUAUCUAUAAUUUUUGAUUGUUCCAUGCUAUAUUAUAUUCUGUUUUGGAUGAUUAAUGGGAUUUAUUAUACACUUUUAUAUUAUUUUUGGGACUAACCUAUUAACCGGAGGCCCAGCCCAAAUUGCUGUUUUUUUGCCUAUUUCAGUGUUUCGCAGAAAAAGAAUAUCAAACGGAGUCCAAACGGAAUGAAACCUUCGGGAAUGUGAUUUUCGGAACAAACGUGAUCCAGAGGACUUGGAGUGGACGUCAAGCAACAGACGAGGAAGCCACGAGGUAGGGGCGCGCCUACCCUCCUGGGCGCGCCCUCCACCCUCAUGGGCCCCUCGUGGCUCCACUGACCUACUUCUUCCUCCUAUAUAUACCUACGUACCCCCAAACCAUCAGAAGCGACCACAAAAACCUAAUUCCACCGCCGCAACCUUCUGUACCCGUGAGAUCCCAUCUUAGGGCCUUUUCCGGCGUCCUGCCGGAGGGGGCAUUGAUCACGGAGGGCUUCUACAUCAACACCAUAGCCUCUCCGAUGAUGUGUGAGUAGUUUACCUCAGACCUUCGGGUCCAUAGUUAUUAGCUAGAUGGCUUCUUCUCUCUCUUUGGAUCUCAAUACAAAGUUCUCCUCGUUUCUCUUGGAGAUCUAUUUGAUGUAACUCUUCUUUUUGCGGUGUGUUUGUCGAGAUCCGAUGAAUUGUGGGUUUAUGAUCAAGAUUAUCUAUGAACAAUAUUUGAAUCUCCUCUGAAUUCUUUUAUGUAUGAUUGGUUAUCUUUGCAAGUCUCUUCGAAUUAUCAGUUUGGUUUGGCCUACUAGAUUGAUCUUUCUUGCAAUGGGAGAAGUGCUUAGCUUUGGGUUCAAUCCUGCGGUGUCCUUUCCCAGUGACAGCAGGGGCAGCAAGGCACGUAUUGUAUUGUUGCCAUCGAGGAUAAAAAGAUGGGGUUUAUAUCAUGUUGCAUGAGUUUAUCCCUCUACAUCAUGUCAUCUUGCUUAAAGCGUUACUCUGUUUUUAUGAACUUAAUACUCUAGAUGCAUGCUGGAUAGCGGUCGAUGUGUGGAGUAAUAGUAGUAGAUGCAGAAUCGUUUUGGUCUACUUGUCACGGACGUGAUGCCUAUAUACAUGAUCAUACCUAGAUAUUCUCAUAACUAUGCUCAAUUCUAUCAAUUGCUCGACAGUAAUUCGUUUACCCACCAUAAUACUUAUGCUCUUGAGAGAAGCCACUAGUGAAACCUAUGGCCCCCGGGUCUAUUUUCCAUCAUAUUAAUCUUCCGUCAACAAGCUAUUUCUAUCUUUAUUUACCUUGUAAUCUUUACUUUUACUCUUUAUCAUAAAAAUACCAAAAAUAUUAUCUUAUCAUCUCUAUCAGAUCUCACUCUCGUAAGUGACCGUGAAGGGAUUGACAACCCCUUUAUCGCGUUGGUUGCGAGGUUCUUAUUUGUUUGUGUAGGUGCGUGGGACUUGAGUGUGGCCUCCUACUGGAUUGAUACCUUGGUUCUCAAAAACUGAGGAAAAUACUUACGCUACUUUACUGCAUCACCCUUUCCUCUUCAAGGGAAAACCAACGCAGUGCUCAAGAGGUAGCAAGAAGGAUUUCUAGCACCGUUGCCGGGGAGUCUACGCACAAGUCAAGACAUACCAAGUACCCGUCACAAACUCUUAUCCCUCGCAUUACAUUAUUUGCCAUUUGCCUCUCGUUUUCCUCUCCCCCACUUCACCCUUGCCGUUUUAUUCGCCUCCUUUUCGUUUGCUUCUUGUUUGCUCGUGUGUUGGAUUGCUUGUUUGUCGCGAUGGCUCUACCUAGAUUUGGUGAUCUUCCAUUAAAAGGUUAGAAGAGAUUGAAAGCAACGUCAGAAGUUUCAUGACUUUACAAUUUGAGCAUAACAAUUUCUUUAGAAACGAGCUUAAGGAACAAAAAAGCUUUAUGGGUUACAUGAAUAAAGAGCUCGACGAUAUGUCUAAGGAAUUUUAUGGUCUAAAAUCUUAGAUUUCUCAUCUCGAAAAAUUAAUUGCUGAAAUUUCGGAUAAGCAGGCCACCUUAGUUAAUAAGAUGGCCGCUAAACCGGUAAUUUUUUAUGAGAAUAAAGAUGAAGAUCUAAAAGUUAUUGAUGUGUCCCCUAUUAAAUCUUAGUUUUGCAAUAUGAAUCUUGAUAAUGAUGGGACUGGAGAUGAGUCAACUUUAGUUAAAAGGCGUCCCAAAAAUUCGGAGUUUUUAGAUCUUGAUGCAAAAUUUGGUAAAAGUGGGAUUGAAGAGGUCAAAACUUUAGAUAUCAAUGAACCCACUAUCUUGGAUUUCAAGGAAUUUAAUUAUGAUAAUUGCUCUUUGAUAUAUUUUAUUUCCUUGUUGCAAUCCGUGUUAAAUUCUCCUCAUGCUUAUAGUCAAAAUAAAGCUUUUACUAAACAUAUCGUUGUUGCUUUGAUGCAAUCUUAUGAAGAAAAACUUGAGUUGGAAGUUUCUAUCCCUAGAAAACUUUAUGAUGAAUGGGAACCUACAAUUAAAAUUAAAAUUAAAGAUCAUGAAUGCUAUGCUUUGUGUGAUUUGGGUGCUAGUGUUUCCACGAUCCCAAAAACUUUGUGUGAUUUGCUAGGUUUCCGUGAAUUUGAUGAUUGUUCUCUAAAUUUGCAUCUUGCGGAUUCCACCAUCAAGAAACCUAUGGGAAGAAUUAAUGAUGUUAUUAUUGUUUCAAAUAGGAACUAUGUGCCCGUAGAUUUUAUUGUUCUUGAUAUAGAUUACAAUCCUUCAUGUCCUAUUAUUUUUGGUAGACCUUUCCUUAGAACGAUUGGUGCAAUUAUUGAUAUGAAAGAAGGAAAUAUUAGAUUCCAAUUUCCGUUAAGGAAAGGUAUGGAACACUUUCCUAGAAAGAAAAUAAAAUUACCUUAUGAAUCUAUUAUGAGAGCUACUUAUGGAUUGCCUACCAAAGAUGGCAAUACCUAGAUCUAUCCUCGCUUUUAUGCCUAGCUAGGGGCGUUAAAUGGUAGCGCUUGUUGGGAGGCAACCCAAAUUUUAUUUUAGUUUUUUUGCUUUUUUGCUUCUGUUUAGGAAUAAAUCUUUGAUCUAGACUCUGGUUAGACUUGUUUUUAUGUUUUAAUUAGUGUUUGUGCCAAGUUAAACCUAUAGGAUCUUCUUGGAUGAUAGUUAUUUGAUCUUGCUGAAAAUUCCAGAAACUUUCUGUUCACGAAAACAAUUGUUAAAAAUCACCAGAACGUGAUAAAAUACUGAUUCUAAUUGCAGUAGAUCAAUAAACAAAUUAUCUAGGUCUUCCUAUUUUGGUAGAUUUUUCUGAGUUACAUAAGUUUGUGUUAGUUACAGAUUACUACAGACUGUUCUGUUUUUGACAGAUUCUGUUCUUCGUGUGUUGUUUGCUUAUUUUGAUGAAUCUAUGGCUAGUAAAAUAGUUUAUAAACCAUAGAUAAGUUGGAAUACAUUAGGUUUAACACCAAUAUAAAUAAAGAAUGAGUUCAAUACAGUACCUUGAAGUGGUGUUUUGUUUUCUUUCGCUAACGGAGCUCACGAGAUUUUCUGUUAAGUUUUGUGUUGUGAAGUUUUCAAGUUUUGGGUAAAGAUUUGAUGGAUUAUGGAACAAGGAGUGGCAAGAGCCUAAGCUUGGGGACGCCCAAGGCACCCCAAGGUAAAUCUAAGGACACCAAAAAUCCAAAGCUUGGGGAUGCCCCGGAAGGUAUCCACUCUUUCGUCUUCGUCCAUCGGUAACUUUACUUGGAGCUAUAUUUUUAUUCACCACAUGAUAAGUGUUUUGCUUGGAGCGUCUUGUAUGAUUUGAGUAUUUGCUUUUUAGUUUACCACAUUCAUACUUGCUGUACACACCUUUUGAGAGAGACACACAUGAUUCAGAAUUUAUUAGAAUACUCUAUGUGCUUCACUUAUAUCUUUUGAGCUAUAUAGUUUUUGCUCUAGUGCUUCACUUAUAUCUUUUAGAGCACGGUGGUGGUUUUGUUUUAUAGAAACUAUUUUUCUCUCAUGCUUCACUUAUAUCAUUUUGAGAGUCCUACAUAACAGCAUGGUAAUUUGCUUAAAUUGAGAAAUUAGUCCUAAUAUGAUAGGCAUCCAAGAUUAGUAAAAACUUUCUUAUAAGUGCGUUGAAUACUAAGAAAAGUUUGAUGCUUGAUGAUUGUUUUGAGAUAUGGAGGUAGUGAUAUUAAAGUUGUGCUAGUUGAGUAGUUUUGAAUUUGAGAAAUACUUGCGUUGAAGUUUGCAAGUCCCGUAGCAUGCACGUAUGGUAAACGUUGUGUAACAAAUUUGAAACAUGAGGUGUUCUUUGAUUGUCCUCCUUAUGAGUGGCGGUCGGGGACGAGUGAUGGUCUUUUCCUACCAAUCUAUCCCCCUAGGAGCAUGCGCGUAGUGCUUGGUUUUUGAUGACUUGUAGAUUUUUGCAAUAAGUAUGUGAGUUCUUUAUGACUAAUGUUGAGUCCAUGGAUUAUACGCACUCUCACCCUUCCAUCAUUGCUAGCAUCUUCGGUACCGUGCAUUGCCCUUUCUCACCUUGAGAGUUGGUGCAAAUUUCGCCGGUGCAUCCAGACCCCGUGAUACGAUACGCUCUGUCACACAUAAACCUCCUUAUAUCUUCCUCAAAACAGCCACCAUACCUACCUGUUAUGGCAUUUCCAUAGCCAUUCCGAGAUAUAUUGUCAUGCAACUUUCCACCGUUCCGUUUAUCAUGACACGUUUCAACAUUGUCAUAUUGCCUUGCAUGAUCAUGUAGUUGACAUCGUAUUUGUGGCAAAGCCACCGUUCAUAAUUUUUCAUACAUGUCACUCUUGAUUCAUUGCCCAUCCCGGUACACCGCCGGAGGCAUUCAUAUAGAGUCAUACUUUGUUCUAGUAUCGAGUUGUAAUCAUUGAGUUAUAAAUAAAUAGAAGUGUGAUGAUCAUCAUUCAUAGAGCAUUGUCCCAAAAAAAGGAGAAAGGCCAAAUGAAAAAAAGGCCCAAAAAAAGGGGCAAUGUUACUAUCCUUUUUCCAUACUUGUGCUUCAAAGUAGCACCAUGGUCUUUAUGAUAGAGAGUCUCUUGUUUUGUCACUUUCAUAUACUAGUGGGAAUUUUUCAUUAUAGAACUUGGCUUGUAUAUUCCCACAAUGGGCUUCCUCAAAUGCCCUAGGUCUUCGUGAGCAAGCAAGUUGGAUGCACACCCACUUAGUUUCUUUUGUUGAGCUUUCAUGCAUUUAUAGCUCUAGUGCAUCCGUUGCAUGGCAAUCCCUACUCCUUGCAUUGACAUCAAUCGAUGGGCAUCUCCCUAGCUCGUUGAUUAGCCGCGUCAAUGUGAGACUUUCUUUUCUUUUUUUCUUCUCCACAUAACCCCCAUCAUCAUAUUAUAUUCCACCCAUAGUGUUAUAUCCAUGGCUCACGCUCAUAUAUUGCGUGAAAGUUGAAUUUUUUUUGAGAUUACUAAAGUAUGAAACAAUUGCUUGGCUUGUAAUCGGGGUUGUGCAUGAUGAGAGCAUUCUUGUGUGACGAAAAUGGGGCAUGACCAAACUAUAUGAUUUUGUAGGGAUGAACUUUCUUUGGCCAUGUUAUUUUGAGAAGACAUAAUUGCUUAGUUAGUAUGCUUGAAGUAUUAUUACUUUUAUGUCAAUAUUAAACUUUUAUCUUGAAUCUUUCGGAUCUGAAUAUUCAUACCACAAAUAAGAGAAUUACAUUGAAAAUUAUGCUAAGUAGCAUUCCACAUCAAAAAUUCUGUUUUUAUCAUUUACCUACUCGAGGACGAGCAGGAAUUAAGCUUGGGGAUGCUUGAUACGUCUCCAACGUAUCUAUAAUUUUUGAUUGUUCCAUGCUAUAUUAUAUUCUGUUUUGGAUGAUUAAUGGGCUUUAUUAUACACUUUUAUUAUUUUUGGGACUAACCUAUUAACCGGAGGCCCAGCCCAAAUUGUUGUAUUUUUUGCCUAUUUUAGUGUUUCGCAGAAAAAGAAAAUCAAACGGAGUCCAAACGGAAUGAAACCUUCGGGAACGUGAUUUUCGGAACAAAUGUGAUCCAGAGGACUUGGAGUGGACGUCAAGGAACAGACGAGGAAGCCAUGAGGUAGGGGGGCGCGCCUACCCCCUGGGCGCGCCCUCCACCCUCGUGGCUCCACCGACCUACUUCUUCCUCCUAUAUAUACCUACGUACCCCCAAACCAUCAGAAGCGACCAUGAAAACCUAAUUCCACCACCGCAACCUUCUAUACCCCUGAGAUCCCAUCUUGGGGCCUUUUCCGGCGUCCUGCCGGAGGGGGCAUUGAUCACGGAGGGCUUCUACAUCAACACCAUAGCCUCUCCGAUGAUGUGUGAGUAGUUUACCUCAGACCUUCGGGUCCAUAGUUAUUAGCUAGAUGGCUUCUUCUCUCUCUUUGGGUCUCAAUACAAAGUUCUCCUCGUUUCUCUUGGAGAUCUAUUUGAUGUAACUCUUCUUUUUGCGGUGUGUUUGUCGAGAUCCGAUGAAUUGUGGGUUUAUGAUCAAGAUUAUCUAUGAACAAUAUGUGAAUCUCCUAUGAAUUCUUUUAUGUAUGAUUGGUUAUCUUUGCAAGUCUCUUCGAAUUAUCAGUUUGGUUUGGCCUACUAGAUUGAUAUUUCUUGCAAUGGGAAAAGUGCUUAGCUUUGGGUUCAAUCUUGCGGUGUCCUUUCCCAGUGACAGCAGGGGCAGCACGGCACAUAUUGUAUUGUUGCCAUCGAGGGUAAAAAGAUGGGGUUUAUAUCAUAUUGCAUUAGUUUAUCCCUCUACAUCAUGUCAUCUUGCUUAAAGCGUUACUCUGUUCUUACGAACUUAAUGCUCUAGAUGCAUGCUGGAUAGCGGUCGAUGUGUGGAGUAAUAGUAGUAGAUGCAGAAUCGUUUCGGUCUACUUGUCACGGACGUGAUGCCUAUAUACAUGAUCAUACCUAGAUAUUCUCAUAACUAUACUCAAUUCUAUCAAUUGCUCGACAGUAAUUCGUUUACCCACCGUAAUACUUAUGCUCUUGAGAGAAGCCACUAUUGAAACCUAUGGCCCCCGGGUCUAUUUUCCAUCAUAUUAAUCUUCCGUCAACAAGCUAUUUCUAUCUUUAUUUACCUUGCAAUCUUUACUUUUACUCUUUAUCAUAAAAAUACCAAAAAAAAUUAUCUUAUCAUCUCUAUCAGAUCUCACUCUCGUAAGUGACCGUGAAGGGAUUGACAACCCCUUUAUCGCGUUGGUUGCGAGGUUCUUAUAUAUUUGUGUAGGUGCGUGGGACUUGAGUGUGGCCUCCUACUGGAUUGAUACCUUGGUUCUCAAAAACUGAGGGAAAUAAUUACACUACUUUACUGCAUCACCCUUUCCUCUUUAAGGGAAAACCAACGCAGUGCUCAAGAGGUAGCAGUGUUCACCGCGCCGCCCGCCGUGCCCCUCGCCGCGCGCACGCCCACCACCGCGCCAGCCCCCGCUCAGCGCCCUCUCCUGCACGCUUGUGCGCGCAUGACCCUAGCCACGCCCGCGCCGUGAUCCCCUUGUUCGGCCCGCCUUCGUCCCGCGCUCGCCGCGGCCCCCAUGCUCCCCCGUGCCAUCUUCUAGGGGCGUCGGCUGCCCCUGUCCCGCUGCUCGCUGCCACGCCUCGCCCGCCCGCGCCUCGCCACCGCUCUACUGCUACGCUAAUAUUGCGCUGUGGCCGCCGCCGCUUCCCGCUGCUCUGCCAGCGCCGAAGCUCCCGGUUGGCUCCGCCGCUGCUCACGUUUUACCGCCCCUAAACGGCCUACCCCCCCCCUCGCUAAUGAACCCCCACUGACCCGCUGACACCGGGACCCACAUCCCCUAAUUAACCAUUUAAUAAAUUAAAAAUCUUAAAUUAACAUUAGUGUAUGACAUGUGGGUCCCCUAUUAAUUAAACUGAUUUAAUUAAAAUCUAUUAACAUUGAGUCUGUGACAUAUGGGCCCCACUAAACAUUUGACCAGUCAACGGUCUAGUCAAAUGCUGACCGGACAGUUGACCAGAGGGCCCCACCAGUCAGCCUCUGUGCUGUUCUGCUGGGUACCUUUCUAAGUACACCUAGCAUUUUGCAUUUACAAUAUUUGUUUUAAAAUAAAUUAGAAUAAUUUCAAAAAAAGAUUAAAACUUUUAAAAUUAAAAUAAAAUAAUCCGUAACUCGGAUGAAAUUACUUUAUACAUGCAAGUUGCUCAAAAAACGAGACGAAUCCGAAUACACAGUCCGUUCGUCUGCCACACGUCCCUAGCAUAGCAAACAUGCAACCAUCCCCCUCCGGUUCGACUGUCCGAAAAUGUCAGACACGGGAAAUACUUUUCCGGAUUUUCCCCUUCACCAUUAGCACCUAGUACCGCGUGAGGGCAUACCUAGCACCACUUAUUGUAAUGUCAUGCAUCGUCAUGCAUCUGUUUGCAUUGUAUUCAUUGUUUCUUCCUCCUCUUCUCUCCGGUAGACUACGAGACCGACGUCGGUGCUGCCCCGGUCGACUACGGUGUCCAUGACCCCUCCUUGUAAGCAGAGCUUCCAGGCAAGCAAACCCCCUUGAUCAUCCCGAUAUCGCCUACUCUUUCCCUCUACUGCUUGCAUUAGAGUAUUGUUACUGUUUGUCGGUUUGAUCCUAUACUGCUGCAUGGCUUGUCUUUGAUACUACUUAUGUGUUAUUUGUGUAGAUUUGUCAAGGAAAAAUGAGUCUAUAGCCUAAUAAAUGAAGUGUUGCAUGUUACCACACAUAUGUUAAUCCCCACUAUAGAGUUAGUAACAUAGACUAGUAACAUGUGCAUGUUACUACCCAUUGUGGCCAGUCUAUGUUACCACUUUCCUCUCUUUCUUCAUUUAUUGCUUGCCACAUCAUCUAUUUUAUCUAGGUAUGUGUGAUAUUACUACCUAUGUUACUCCCACUGUGGGUAGUCUAAGCAGGCUAUAAGGAAUAGAAUAAUAUAUAUGUGCUUAUUAGUUGGAGGAAAGAGAAGAGAAGCGGGCUCUUGGUUAGUAGAGCCAGCUACAACAUGAGACCCAAGCACUUUGUGAGGAUGUAAGGUGGCCAACUAUUGAUAAACUAGUACGUAUAUAAAAAUUAUUAUUGCACAUGGCCGCUAAGAGGUUGGCUGUAUAUGACAUGACAACUUCUUAUAGCCGACCCUUGGCUGUAUUAUUAACCAUGCUCUUAGUGAGGUAGCUAGUAUAUCAUAGACGACUAGCUAGUAUCAGACUAGCCAAAGUGGGAGUAACUUCAGCAGUAACAUCGACUCCAACUCAGAAAACUUGCUUAUGUGGGAGUAAACCGUGCCCAAUGCAAAAUACAAUCCCAGUCAUAAUUUUUUCAGGAAACGUGUGGUAUCCCAAACGAAAAGUACAUGUCACUCUUGCGGCAACGAUACCCAAUAAAUCACAAACGGUCUGCAGCACUUGUAUGUGUGCGAAGAGGCUCCUGAACCGUUUGUGAUAGAACAUUAUCGUAGACGAUAAUUGUUGGCAAACGUGUGCGAUGGAGUCUAGCAUGGCAGACAGGUUACGCAGAAAACUCGUGUGCGAUGGGGCACAAAUCGCACACAGUUCAUAUGUUGGCCCGUGUGCCUUACAUACUAUUUCCCAAACGGUUUGUUACGACAGACCGUAUGGUUUCAGUGCGUCAUUAGAAACGCUUAAUCACCGAUACCACACGUGCGAAAGAAUUUAGUGUGUGCUUCAUCGCACACGAUUACAUUUUGGAAGGCCUCUGGAUCACUGCUCCAUAUCCCCGACGGUUUCUGGGUCGUGUGGGAAGUACACCCUAUCGCACACACUCACUUGGCGACGGUUCCAAAUGCCAUCGCGGAAAGGGGUUGAAAACAGUUUGUUUAGAACCGACGCGUACCAUUGUCUAUCUAUCUAUCUACCUAUCUAUCUAUCUAUCUAUCCAUCCAUCUAUCUAUCUAUCCAUCUAUCUAUCCACCUAUCCAUCUAUCCAUCUAUCUAUCUCUAUCCAUCUAUCUAUCUAUCCAUCUAUCCAUCUAUCUAUCCAUCUAUUUAUCUAUCUAUCUAUCUAUCUAUCUAUCUAUGUAUCCAUCGAUCCAUCUAUCCAUCCAUCGAUCCAUCUAUCCAUCCAUCUAUCUAUCCAUGCAUCCAUGUAUCCAUCUAUCGAUCUAUCCAUCUAUCCAUAUAUCGAUCUAUCCAUCUAUCUAUCCAUCUAUCCAUCUAUCCAUCUAUCGAUCUUUCCAUCUAUCGAUCUAUCCAUCUCUUCAUCUACCCAUCUAUCCAUCUAUCCAUCUACCGAUCUAUCUAUCCAUCUAUCUACCUACCUAUCUAUCUAGCUAUCUAGCUAUCUAUCUAUCUAUCCAUCCAUCUGUCCAUCCAUCCAUCUAUCUACCUACCUACCUACCUACCUACCUACCUAUCUAUCUAUAUAUCUAUCUAUCUAUCUAUCUAUCUAUCUAUCUAAAGGAAAUAUGCCCUAGAUGCAAUAAUAAAGUUGUUAUUUAUAUUACUUAAACUAGCAGAGUCACCCGCGCAUUUGCGCGGCUAGAUUGACUACAUAUAUUGUUAUAUUUGGGAUUAUUUUUCUAUGCCAACUUUAUGGCCUCUUACUCAGAUAUUAUCUAAUUUAAUUUACCACCACCAUAUGUUAUAUCCAUAGAUUAUAAUUAAAAGGCAACUUGCGACGAAACAUGGUCAGAUUAUUGAGUGCUCAGAAGACGGGCGCAAUAUCAUAUAUAGACUUCUAUACCAAUCUUCAUGGUUCCCAUCUUUGAUCCUCUCCUCGUCCCUUGGUAUCUAUCUUUGCACCCAAUAUGUCUUUGGAGUUCCAAGAAUUGGAUCUUAGCAUGAAUGGCUUCAAAGUGUACCAAAUGUUCUCUUGUUCCUCCCAAAUUAAUUACUGGUUGCAUUCUUAGUUGCUUUGACAUUCUUGGUUAAUGCAAUGUCUUGCCUACCAAUAUAUGCAUCCACACACGAUCAUAUUUAUAUGACCACUUACCUCUGUAUUCUGGUAUUUGUGCUUCAGAAUUUUUCUCUCAUUCAGUUUAUUCAUAGAUUAGAAACGUCGAUCGUUUCUUUAUUGGUUUGCAUUAUCUUGUUUGCCGAAUGUAAGCAUCCACACAUGCUCGUCAUGAUAUGAUUGGUCAUCAUUGUAUAUUUGUAUUUGUGUGUUGAUAGCUUAAGGAUUUUCUCGGAUUCACUUCAUAGUUUAAGGAUUUUCUCGCGUUCAAUUUAUUCUACCUUAUUCAUUUUCAUGUUUCUUUAUUGUAUUCAUAUCCAUUCUUACAAUAUAUUUUCCAAGAUAUGAACUCAACUACUAAUUACGUAGUUUUCAAUGAAAUUUUACAUGUAAAAGUGGUACAAAUGCAUAAACCCAAUUUUUUUUUAAACACGUUGACUUACAAAAAGGACAAUUCAAGCUGCAUGUACGUCCGACUCAUGUUUACCUGACAAUGUCGAUGUUGAUUUCAGCAGUAAAUGAGCUGUGUGUGACCUUUGCGCUUUCCGGUAUUCUUCUAACCUGUGUGCUUUAUGAUCAGUUUGUUGUGCUUAGUACUGGACACUGGAGUAUACUAUCAUAUUUGAUACAAACAAAUCCGAACUGCUAUAGUUAUGAUCCACUGUAUAGUUAAUGGUGGUGGUAAUUAAUAUAUGUGGUUAAAUACUUGCGCUCCUUAGGUGGGGAGUUGGAUUUGUAUUUGUCUAAAAUGAAUUUCAGAUUUCGUAUCAGUGGUGAAGCCAGCCGGAAGAACCUCUGCGUCAUUAUUAAUUUUGGUGAUAUUUUUCAUCAUAGUGUAGAAUAAUUUUAGUGCUUAUUCCGCAAAAAAAUGGCCUCAACUGACCCCAUAGCUUGUAUGUUGCGCCACCACUGUUUCGUAUAUCUUAUUACAUCCGUUGUUUUUAGAUCUUGAUGCAUAACUUUGACAAUUUUUAAUAGAUAUGUGUCUGUAUAAAAAAAUUAUAAAUGCUAUGAUAAUUUGAUUAAUUAUGAUGAAUAAAAUGGUAUUGCUUUGACUUGAUCCCUCUAACAAUUUAUAGGAAUGCUCUUAAAUAUUUCUGCUUCAUUUGAUCUCAUUAUAGCCUGCCUAAAUUACAUGGCUUAAUCGCCUUUUUUCUUUUAUCUUAGUUCAUUUCCGUAAAUUCAUUUGUACUAUAUAUGCUCCCGUAAAUUCAUUUUUUUAAUUGCUCACAUUUUUUUGAGGCAUUUUGAGUUUCUCACGUACGCUCAAACGCCCAAGAAAACACAUAUAGUGUUCGCUACGCCCAAGAAAACACAUUGAGGCAGUAAUUUCUUCAGGCAAGAUCGAUCGGCAGCUAAUUAAGUAGGCUGGAUGGCAUUGAGAAAUCCAAAAACGAUUUACAUACACAUGGUAGAUCGUCUCUCUCUCUCCUUCCACCCCUUCCUUUCAUGGCCAUCGUAGACUGCACCAUGUGGCAUUCAAACUUUUAUCAAGGGGAGAGUUUCCUCACACACACACACACACAUGCACAUACGCAAGCACACGCACACACGUGUAGUACAAACUUAGAAUUUUUGGAAAUAAUGGGAGGCCGAGCAACGGCCAUGUGAAAAUAUGAGGUAUAUAGCUUGUGGAUUUCCUUUCAGUGUACAAGGCCUGCAUGAGGAAUGGAUAAAAAAUUAUAUCUUUGAUUCCCUUAGUUAAAUCUUAUCCUUCAUCGUCAAUUAUGACUAAGCAUACAUAGUAACCGCUAGUUUCUCUUAUAUGCUUCCGAGAAGAUAAGACUGGAUAUUUUAGUUGCUAUUAAUUGUUUCCCUUCUUUCGCUAAAUAGUAGUCAAACAUGUUAUUAAUGUAUUUUGUAAGGAUAAGGUCGAGCAUCAUGGCCACUAUGUUCUAUAUAUACUGAAUUUGGUGUUCAGUAUGACAUAACAAACACAUAUUGUGAGAAGGAGUAGUGUACAUUGUUCUCUAGUGCACUUUGUUCAGCAAGUUGGGUGAAAAUGUUGAAUAGAACCAUCAAGUUUUCAUACUUUUUUUCAUGGCACAGGUUUGCCUUCUCAUGAUGAUGGCCGCACCGUUUGCACAAGCUGCUGGGAGGCCUGUGGCCUCCUUACCAUGGGUAGCGGGGUGUUGCCCGAGGAACUAUUUGUGUUGUGGUGUUGGUGCCGUUGCCCCGACAUCCCAUGCAUCACAGGCCACCUCUGUACCUUGAGUUAUGGUUUCGCCUGAUCUCCUCUCAUAACAUAGUUGAUAUAACAUAGUAGCAUCACAAAGGUUGCAUGGUUUCAUUGAUUCAUCUCUUUUCUACUCCUUGAAACUUGUGAUGCCACUUUUGAACAAUGUCAUUGCUAUGUCUUCUUAUAACUAAUAAAAUGGGAGGAUAUUUUCAUCUUAUUUGAAUUGUGUUGUAACAUUACCUACUAAUGUGGAUGAUCUGAGUGGGACUACAUAGAUCGGAUCUUCUAAAGAUGUAAUCUAGGACUUUGCGAGAUGAUGAAAUUGUCCUUUAUCUUGGUCGACACCUUUUCGUAGAAGUGUUGGUCGGCCGUCUGUGUCUUUUUGCGGUGCAUGCCGUAGAAUCCUCCAUGUUUUGUAGUUGUACAAUAACCUUUGAGGCAACCGGGGGUGGUACGUCUGAGGAAGUCGGUGGCCCAGGAAUAUUCAUAAUAAGAUCUUGACCAUGGAUGCCAAGUAAUUUGCCCCGUGCUGAUGUCGUCGGGCUGACCCGCUCACUUAUGUUUUGACUCAAGGAGUCGCUAUGUUCACCGAGUCGCGAGACAGCGGGAGGAAGGAGACGAAGGUCCCAAACGUCAGACCAAAAAGGUGGACUAGGGCUCGCCCUAGUUGUGCUCUCGGGUAUUUUCAGUUACUAGUAGGAGUAAGAAGCAUUGCAAAUUGCUCCCUCUGUUCAAUCCGUAUAUAUGUAGUCCAUAUUCAUAUAUUCAAAAUAUUUUAUAUUUGUGAACGAAGGAAGUAAUUAAUUGUAAUGCAACAAUUUCAGGGGAGGCCAGUCAACAGCUAACUAAAUGUGCUGGAUGAGACUGGAGAAAUGUAUAAACGAUUUACACAUGAUAGAACUACUCUUUUCUUGUUAAGAAAUGGAAGAAUGGAUGAUUUUAUCCGUUCGGAACAAAACCCAAUAUUCAUCCAGUUAGACGUUGUUCUGAAUUGUGACGCUUUUGAAAGUUUUCUCGCAGAAAUAUGUGUGUAUUCCAGUUGUAUCAUUAGCAAACCAAGGUUGUAUAUAUUAUAGCACAAAGAAUGUUUGGUUGAUUCGUUCAGGCGAAUCGGGUUUGUUGCUGACUGCCAAAGUCAGGCCAACUCCAGCGCACGACCCCAAACGGACAUCUGUUUUGCCUGGAUUCUGCCCGUUUGGAUAGGGCAAUGGGGUCGUGUCCGGGCCUGUCCUGUGAUGCGGUGGCCGUGCGCACAACGUGCGGACGCAUCCUUUGGCCUCAUCAUGUCCGCCACGGCCAAAAAUGCCCAUAUAUUCAUAUUUCAAUGUUCAAAACUAGUUUGCACGUUCAAAUAUUAAUUGUCUGAAAAUAAAAAUAGUUAUUACAACCCAAUCAAAAUUGUCUCUAAUAAAAUAGUUUUACAACCAAAUCGAAAUUGUCUUGAAUGAACAUAAUGAACCAAUACAUCUAUUGGUUGCCAAUGUGAUUCCACAUGUGCUCAACCAAGUCAUUUUGAAGAUCCAAAUGAGUGUGCCAAUCAUGCAUUUCACGAUGAAAUUGGGCAAACUUCUCAAACGUGGCCGGUUCUUGGUGCAGGGGCUGAACAUUUUCACCUUGAAAAUCAAAUCCUUGGUCGAAGAUGCUGUUAUCAUGCUCGUCCUCGAUGAUUAUGUUGUGCAUGAUCACACAAGCAGUCAUCACCUCCCGAAGCUUCCCUUCAUCCCAUGUCAAUGCAGGGUUUCAAACGAUACCCCAUCGGGAUUGAAGCAAACCAAAAGCACGUUCCACAUCCUUCCUAGCACUCUCUUGCAUUUGGGCAAAUCUCUUUCUCUUCUCACCUUGGGGGUUCGAGAUUGUCUUCACAAAAAGUUGACCACUGAGGAUAUAUACCAUCAGCUAGGUAGUAUCCCUUGUUAUACUGGUGGCCGUUGAUCUCAAAGUUGCCAGGUGGGGAGUGGCCUUCUGCAAGCCUUGCGAAGACUGGAGAACGCGGCAGCACGUUGAUAUCAUUGUGAGAACCUGCCAUGUCGAAGAAAGAAUGCCAUAUCCAAAGAUCUUGCGAAGCCACCGCUUCUAAUAUGAUAGUGCAAGCUUUAACAUGCCCCUUGUACUGGCCCUGCCAAGAAAAUGGACAGUUCUUCCACUCCCAGUGCAUACAAUCUAUGCUACCAAUCAUGCCUGGAAAGCCUCUAGCUGCGUUGGUCGCCAACAAGCUUUCUGUAUCAGUGGCAUUUGGCUGCUGAGGGAGUCCUGGAUUAAGGGGUCCUCGGGCGUCUGGGCUAUGUAACAUGGGCUGGACUAAUGGGCCGCGAAGAUACAAGAUGGAAGGCUUUCCCCCCAUGUCCGGAUGGGACUCUCCUUGGCGUGGAAGGCAAGCUUGGCAUGCGGAUAUUAAAGAUUCCCUUCCCUGUAAACCGAGUCUGUACAACCCUAGCCCCCUCCGAUGUCUAUAUAAACCGGAGGGUUUAGUCCGUAGAGGCAAGGAUAAUCAUACAGGCUAGAUAUCUAGGGUUUAGCCAUUACGAUCUCGAGGUAGAUCAACUCUUGUAAUCCCUAUACUCAUCAAAGUCAAUCAAGCAGGAAGUAGGGUAUUACCUCCAUUAAGAGGGCCCGAACCUGGGUAAACAUCGUGUCCCCUGCCUCCUGUUACCCUCUAUCCUUAGACGCACAGUUCGGGCCCCCCUAUCCGAGAUCCGCCGGUUUUGACACCGACAGCUGCCUCAAGUACUCAGGGCCAAACACUGCCACCACAGCCUUGUAGAAUUUGUAAAGUGACAACAGACAUGUCGACUCACUCAUGCGCACGUACUCAUCCACCAGAUCGCCUGGAAUUCCAUAUGCAAGCAUGCCGAUGGCCGCGGUGCACUUCUGGUAAGAGGAGAAUCCAAGCUUGCCAAGGGCAUCCGUCUUGCACUCGAAGUAUGGGUCAUGAGCAACCACUCCCUCUCGGAUACGAUUGAACAGAUGCCUUGCCAUACGAAAACGGCGACGGAAUUUAUUCGGCUUGAAGAGCGAGGUAUUCGCAAAGUAAUUGGCAUAGAGCAAGGCGUGGCCUCUCUCUCUAUUGCGUUUCAGGUUGGGAGCACGGCCAGGGACUGACCCCAUGUACCGAGGAAGCUGCCCAAUGUGAUCGUGAACGACCAGUGCAACCACCACCAGAUCUUCGUCAUCCGAGGACGAAUCAUCCGAUGAAUAAAUGAAGUGGUGGAAGAAAAAUUCAUCUCCACUGUCCAUACCUUUGUGGGCAAAGUGUCCAACACCUUGCGGUCGUGGUGGCAAAUAGGCCGCGAUGAUCAUCUCGAUGCAGCAGGGGUGGUUGGCGGCCGGCUACUGGCCGCUAUGGAGCACCUGGCGAAAGCUGCCGUGGUCCAUAUCCGUCGCCGGUGGUCGUAUCCCCUCUGGCACCGGCUACAACGACGACGGCCAAAUCUCCUCCAAGCGAUGGCCAGAACUCCUACGAAAGCGCGGGCUUGGUGGCGGCCGUGUCGAGACGUGGUUUGGUAUGGAUGGCCGGGGGGAAGCAGUGAGGAGGCGGUCGGAGAAUACUGGGGGCGCCGGUGGCGGGGUGGGGCGGAGGAGAGCGGGUGGAGGCGUUGGAGGCGAAUGGAGUGCUAGUGUCCCCAACAGGCGGGCCGCGGGGAGGACAAGGGCGUGUGUCCAGCCCGUCCGUGUGAUGUCCGUUUCAUCCCAAACUCGGCACAAGUUUGGGCCAGGAAUGGGUAAAAAACGGACGAAAUCCGGACAUUUGUCUAUUUGAGGCCGUGCCUUGGGUCGCGCUAUUCGUGUAUUCUACCCUAAACGGACGCACCAGAACGGAAUGGGGUCGCGUGCUGGAGUUGGCCUCACGACCGUUUCUGCCUUUGGCGCAGACAAGAGAUUCUACACUGUAAAGGAAAAAGCUGAAAGCUCGCUUGUCUCGUGUGUUUCUCUUCUCUUGCACCUUGUCGGAAAACAGCGUGCACCAGGGACGCUCGAUUCCAUGGCAGGCAUCAAUUCAAUCGAUCAUGCUACAGGGAACCGGCACUAUUUUCUUUUUCUUUUUCUUUUUCUUUUAGGUCGUGAACGCAAGUCAUUUGAGACAUUCACAUAGGACUUACAUAAUUGGUAGAUUUAUUAGCAUCAGUGUGGAGCUAAAGUGUUUGAUGUUUUGUAUGAAUGGUUUGGUCUUAACAAUCAAGCCGACCACUCAGGACCUACUUUUGGACUUUUUUUUUGUAUUAUUGUAUACUAGCAAAAGGGCCCGUGCGCGGAGAAAAAAAUUAUAAUCUUGAAUGACCAUGAUCACAUUUUUUUGCAUCACCGAGAUACACUAUCACUUUCAAUUUCGGGAAAUCAUGUACAUUUUUUAAACUUGUGAACAUUUUUCAAAUUCUUGAACACUUUUACAAAUCUGCAAACAUAUUCUAAAAUCAAGAACAUAUUUUGAAUUCAUGAACAUUUUAUAGUAUUUACAAACAUUUUUAGAAAUUACGAAUUCUUUUUAACAACUUUCUUGAAUAGGCAAACAAUUCUAAAAUGGACGAACAUUGUUUUAUAAAUCGGUGGAACAAUUUUUGAAAUUCACGAACAUUUUUUUGAUUUUACAAACAUUUUUUGAAAUGCAUGAUCAUUUUUGUAUAAACUAUUUUGUAUGUCACGAACAGAUUUUCAAAUAUUUGGUUAUUUCCCCAUUCAUGAACAUUUUUUGAAUGGUGAUAUUUUCUUCAAUUUCAUUAACAUUUUUUAUACACCAAUUUUUAAAAAGUCAUGGACGUAUUUUGAUUUCAUGAACAUUUGUUUUCAAAAUUUCGAACAUUUUUCGAGUCAGAUUCUUUAAUAAAAUUGCAAAUAUUUUUUGAAUACAUAAACAUUUUAUGAUUUAUUAAAACUUUAUUUGAAAAUUAUUUUUAAAUUUCAAAUAUUUUGUGUAUUCCGAAUUUAGUUAAAGCAGAAAAAACGGAAAAGGAUAAAAAAGGAAAUGUUAAAAACAGGCCGCCCGGACAUGGGCGGCCCAAACAGGCGGGCCGCGCCUUAUCCCUACGCGCAGAGCCCAGUAUGGGAGGUCGCUACUACAUGGCCCAGUCCAGACGUGGAUUCCCUGUGUGAAACAUUUAUAUCACUUAUACAUGACAUUUGUGGGUAAUUUGUACGACGUGCCAUAAGAAGAAAUAGCCCCUUUAUUAUUACUAGCAAAAGUGUCCGUGUGUUGUAAUGGGAGAAAUAAAAUCAAAAUCUCCAAUGACCAUGACCAUAUUUUGUUGCAUCACCCAGACACCCUAUCACUCUCAAUUUCAUGAAAUCAUGAAUAAUUUUUGAAAUCACGAACAUGUUUUAAAAUUAUUACUCAUAUUUGAAAUUGUGAACAUUUUUCAAAUUCAUGAACACUUAUACAAAUUUUCGAACAUUUUCUAAAAUCCAGAACAUUUUUGGAAUUGAUGAACAUUUUAUACUAUUUGCAAACACUUUUUAAAGAUUCUGAACAUCUUUAUAAACAAUUUUCUUUAAUCGAGGAACAUUUGUAUGGAAAUUGACGGAACAAUUGUCGAAAUUCACAAACAUUUUUUGAUUGAACUAACAUUUUUUGAAAUACAUGAUCAUUUUUUGAAUCAGUAGACAUUUUCUGAAUGACUAAACUAUGUUGUAAGUCACGAAAUAGUUUUUGAAUUUUAGGAUAUUUCUCCAUUCAUGAACACUUUUUGAAUUGGCUAUUUUUUUCAAUUUCAUUAACAAUUUUUGAUACAAAAACUUUUUAAAAAUCAUGAAUUUUAUUUGAUUUCCCAAAAAAUUGUGUUUAAAGUUUUGAACAUUUAUUGUGUAAGCAAUUGUUUUUUACAAAACAGCGACCAUAUUUUGAAUCCACAAACAUUUUAUGAUUUAUGAAAAUUUUAUGUCAAAAUACUCAUUUUUUAAAUUUUCUAAACUUUUUUGAAAUCCUAAACUAUUUAUAGUAAAAAGAACGAAAACAGGAAAGAAAAAUGAAAAUAGAAAACGAAAUCAAAGAAACAGGCCAGCCUGAAAUGGGCCGGCCCAAACAUGCGUGUAGCGUCUUCUCCCAGCGUGCCGAGAACAUUAUAGGAGGUCCCUACUGUAGAGCCGGCCCAGAUGGGGGAAUUCCCUUGUGUGAAUUUUUUGUAUCACUUAUAUGUGGCAUUGAACUCAUGAAGCAUGCGCUAUCCCUUCCAGCUCGCCGCCAUGUCUGGCUCGGACAACCAGAUGGACUUUCUUUCGUCCCUGUAAACGUUUUGAUGAUAUAAUAAAAAGCUUCGGAAUUUGUCUAAAAAAACUUAUAAGUGGCAUUGGUGGGUAAUAUUUUGCAACUUUAGAGGUAAUUCCAUGACGUACCACCAGAAGCACAAUAGCCCCUUUACUAUUAUUAGGUACUCUUUUUUCCUUGUGGAGCUUUGGAAAUGAGAGAAUUUGAAUAUAGUAACUCUCGGAAACUCUUAUUGGACGAGAGAGAUUUAAUAUGAUAUUGGCAUGGGUUCUACCAACUAAACGAAGAAGUAUUUGACUGAAUAAACAGACAAUUUCCUUUAAUCGACGAACAUUUUUAUGAAAAUUGGUGGAAUAACUUUUGAAAUUCAUAAAUAUUUUUUGAGUUAACGAACAUUUUUUGAAAUACAUGACCAUUUUUUUGAAUCUGUGAACGUUGUAUGAAUGAAUAAACUAGUUUGUAAGUCAUGAGCAGUUUUUCAAUUUUUAGGAUAUUUUUCCCUUCAUGAACAUUUUUUCAAUUGGUGAAAUUUUGUUCAAUUUCAUUAACAAUUUUUAGUGCAUAAAACUUUUUAAAAUCAUGAACAUUAUUAUUUACCAAAGAAGCAAAUUGUUUUUUGCAAAAUCAUGGACAUUUUUUGAACCCACAAACAUUUUAUUAUUUAUGAAACAUUUUUUUAAUACACAAUUUUUUUAAUUUUCGAAUUUUUGUGAAAUACUAAAUUAUUUAAAGUAGAAAAAUCAAAAACAGAAAAGAGAAAGGAAUAAUAGAAAAGGAAGUUAAAUAAUAGGCCGACCGAACAUGGGCUGGCCCAAACGGGCGCACUGCAUCUUCUNNNNNNNNNNNNNNNNNNNNNNNNNNNNNNNNNNNNNNNNNNNNNNNNNNNNNNNNNNNNNNNNNNNNNNNNNNNNNNNNNNNNNNNNNNNNNNNNNNNNNNNNNNNNNNNNNNNNNNNNNNNNNNNNNNNNNNNNNNNNNNNNNNNNNNNNNNNNNNNNNNNNNNNNNNNNNNNNNNNNNNNNNNNNNNNNNNNNNNNNNNNNNNNNNNNNNNNNNNNNNNNNNNNNNNNNNNNNNNNNNNNNNNNNNNNNNNNNNNNNNNGUAUUAUUAUUGUUUCAAAUUUAUUCAUAUAUUAUUUUCAAUUGUACAACCAUAAUUUUUCUUAUCUCUCUCGUUCCACUACAUGCUCCUAGUCAAAGAUUUUUUUUAAUAAUGGGUGUUUUUAUUAACUCAAAAUAUAGCAUCAAGCGGAUACAAAACAUAAUGAGCCACACCCGGUCUAUGCAUAACUAAGAUGCACACAGCCAAAAGCAGAAGUCUGACAAAAAUAAGAUAAGAAAAUCGACAUAUCGACAACAGUGAGUCAUGUAGUACCGACACUAUGCCUCUGUCGAAGGAGGUGGUGGAGCGAUCUGGAGAUUAUGCUGCCAUCCAUGUUGAGUAAAUAUCUCCCUGGCCACUUGCUCCAACCGCAUAGACGCCGCCAUGAACAACGGUUGGUACUCCAUUCGGUGUAGCAUACACCAUACUAGAGGCUGGGGCGCCACCUGAGGCGGGCCUAUGCGCACUUAUUUUGUCUGGGCACUUCGGUUGUCAUGUUUGGUCAUCAGUAUCACUUAUGUACAUCAAUAUGGGCGUAUGCUGUAUUGUUUGAGUUCAUUAGGAUCUAUUAGUAUCACAUCAAUCAAAGUACAUAUACUAUGUUAUUUGAGUUCAGAACCAUCAUAGGCAAUGAUACGUCUAAUAAGGAUAUAUAACAUUUAAUUCAAAAGGAAAGACAAAGUAGAAUUAAGUGCUUUAGUUUGGCCGAAGAAAGGAACCUCAUGAUGCCAUGACUAAGGAACCAAAUAUAAAAGAGCACCUUUCAGAGUACUCCAGAGGUAUGACAUCAUCCAUUUCCACAUCAGAAUCAUCGGAAUUCUCCUGAUCUUCAUUUCGAUGUACCCAACACAAAUGCUACAUGGAUUUUAGUCAGCUGCACUCCCCACUACUUCUACACUUCCCCUUUUUCACACCGACGAGCAGAGACUGAUGCAAGUUGAUCGAACACAGAACAACAUAUAAUUUCCUAGAGAUGCGCUGGGCCUGAAAGGCAACAUACCUAGCAUGCGCAUAAAAUGUGAGAGUAACAAUAAAAGAACAUACCAUUUACCGAUAUGAUUAUUAUUGCUUGCCAAAAUGAUACGUUUUGAUUACUAUUGCAUGCCAAUAUUCUUAAUCACUCCAAGCAAAUUUAACCUAAACUAAAUAUCUAAGAGUAAGCUCUGGUUUAUGUAUUUUACAGAAGUUUGGUUCAGCGAAACUUCGGAAGCAAAUGUGUGAAGGUUUUAUCAUUCUAAUUAAAGGCCUUUUGAUUGUGCAAAACUUACACUACCACAUGAGUUACUGACCAACAUGAGAUGCAAAGUAACAACAGCAUGAUAAUUUUUUUUGAAGGCAGUCAUAUUCUAAAGCAUUAAAAGAUGAAUUCCAAUGCUUUGAUUCUGUAAAGAAUUAGAUCGAUCACUCAACAGUUCUAUUGGCGCCACUAAAAUUCUGAGUGCAAUGUUGUGUAUGUAGCUAAAAUUCACCCAUCAAAGACAACCUUAAUAAUAAGCAAUGGUCAAAACAAGCAAUUGUUGAAGUUAAAUGUAAUUAGAUAGGAAGUCACAUUUGAUUCAUGACCAUCGAGCUGAAAAUGAGACCGAUAAAAGCUGAUUCACCAUGAAGAGAAACAACUAAUGUGAACCUCGGGUUGUAAAACAAAUAGGAUGAGUCGUGUGCUGAUUGCAAAAAAUUGUACUUCUAACCAAAUGACCAUGCUUCAUGAAUAGAUGACAAUAUAGUAACACGAAAGUGAAGUACGGUGAAAUUUUGUAAGCUACUAAGGGCAUAGGGCAAAGCUCACACUCCAGCUUGCACUCCUUGAAGAAAUCAACCAAAAGCACCCAGAAAGAUAAAUGGCAUUGUGGCAUCCGAUGAAUGUUGAUAACUGUACCAUCACACUAAUUUAAUCUACAAAAUUCAUGUCAACAUCACUAAUCAUGAUGUAUCAGGUUAGGAUAAAAUCAUUGUUUUUUCCCAAAAUAAAAUAAAACAAGCCCAGUUAGAAAGAAAUCAUAAGCCUAUCAGACAAUCAGGCAAUUCUGUUAGCAUGUCAACAAUCAGACAGAACAAAACCUAUAGUCCUCAUUUUUUUCUUUCUAAAAAAAGUGUAAUGCUAGAAAAGAGAGUUAAAUAAAAUGCUACGUGAAUCAGCAUACAGAAAAUUCAUAGAAGCAAUGAAGAAAAUAUGAACAAAAUUUAUGUCGAAACACCUAUACUUUCCCCACGAGCAAAUAUGUGUAAUGUUAGAAAAGGGAGUUAAAUAAAAUGUUAGGCAAAUCCGCAUCCAGAAAAUUCAUAGAAGCAAUGAAGCAAAGAUGAGCGACAAAUUUAAUCUACACACACACACACACACACACAUUCAGGCAAACAAAUUACUUCGAUUGAAUCCAUUCCUUUGCAUAUAUGGCAUAAAUGCAUCUAAGGAAAAAAAAACUUGAUGGUGUUAGUUUACCUUGCCAAGAUCAUGAAAUCCAUCUAAAUGAAUAAGAAGCUCCAACAGUGUCCGCUGGAUCUCAUGGUCGUCAUUGGUUCCCUCACUAAAUCUUCUCGCAUCAAUUGCAUCGAUUUCAUCCAUGAAGAUAAUGCAUGGCUAGAAAUAACAACUUGAUGAAAAUGAAACAAAAUUUGCAAGCACCGUAAAUAAACUAAAUGGUGAUAUAAGCUAAAAUGAUCUCAGAAGUGCACUUUUACAUAUAUAGAGAUCAGUUUGAUUUCUUCUUCUCAGGAAAAACUGAUACUGAAAUCUAAAGCUUAAAGUUUUUCUAGUGUUGAACCAGAAUACAAUUAGAUGACAUGACAUCUGAGUCAAGGGAACUAUCAAAGUCACAGCUUGAAUCUCAACACCAGUAGAUGCAUAACCAUCUGCCAACAUACGUUUCUAACAGAUAAUAAGGGAAUUAGGUUUAAGACCAAUUGGCUUUGCAAAAAAGAAAGGCGGAGCAAAACUUACUUGGCGAUCGCGUGCAUAGCCGACCAUUUCUCUGAUUAAAAGCGCACUUUCCCCGAUAUAUUUGUCAAUUAUAGCACUUGACACAAUCUGGUUUUUAGACAACACGUCAGUGUAAUGUAAUACUCACAGAAUGAAAAUACCAACCACCAUCAAUCAAGUGAAAACCACAGCUCCAAAAAGUUAGCAUGAAUGUUACUGGAUAUAGCCCUUGAUAGUAAUGGCUUCCCUGUAGAGUAGAACGCACUUGAAAAAGUUAAAGAAACAUACACUGGCUCCCAUAUAUUGAUCUUGUAUUUGACAAGUGGCCGGGCAUCAACAUUGUGCCUGCUGGUGUACCAAUUCAGCUUGUAGCUGCCAGCUAAUCUCCUUCUGAACAGUUAUGCUGUCCUCACUCACGUGCUACGCCUAUUCAAACUUGCUUAAUUUAAUUUGUUACUACUAUGUUAAUGCUGACAUAUUAACUGGCAGACCUCAUGUACUAACAGUAAAUCCCAGCAUACUUUCUUAAUUUGCUACUAUCCGGAUUUAUUCUUUUAGCGAGAGGUCAGGUAUCACUUGGAACAACUGAGUUUCUUUUUAAUCUUUGUGGACACUACACUUGAACGCCACAACCACCUGGAUAUGUCAGGCAGGACGGGCAGCAGCGCAUCAUCAGUAAGUUUAUUUAAGAGAGUAAAAUUCAGUCGCAAUCAGUCAAUCUCAAUCAGGUUCAGAUUUGGACGCGACCUUGAAUAACGAAGCCCCAACUGGGAAGAACAAGGUUGCAAGAACAAGCAGAUUGACGAUGGGUUCAUGGAAGCUUACCAGGCAGGCAGUCCGCCCGGCGGCUUGAGCAAGCUGCUGCUGGUACCCUACGCGCAGUCGCAGUCCGCACCGGCCAGGGCACACGAGCACUGACGCGCGUGCCGCCUGCCGCUUCACCAUGCCCACGUUGUAGUCGCCACCGAUUCACGGCAGGGCAGAGGGGCCUCGACCUCGUCCUCCUCCACAUCAUCAUCGGCGAUGCCCUUCCCCUCCUGACCCCAACACCAUCAUGCCCCCGCCGACUCAUCUCCCUACAGCGACGGCGACUCCGGAGGCUCCGAGACCUGGGACACCGACAUGAGUGGCUCGUCGGCAUCGGAUCUCCUCCACCCNNNNNNNNNNNNNNNNNNNNNNNNNNNNNNNNNNNNNNNNNNNNNNNNNNNNNNNNNNNNNNNNNNNNNNNNNNNNNNNNNNNNNNNNNNNNNNNNNNNNNNNNNNNNNNNNNNNNNNNNNNNNNNNNNNNNNNNNNNNNNNNNNNNNNNNNNNNNNNNNNNNNNNNNNNNNNNNNNNNNNNNNNNNNNNNNNNNNNNNNNNNNNNNNNNNNNNNNNNNNNNNNNNNNNNNNNNNNNNNNNNNNNNNNNNNNNNNNNNNNNNNNNNNNNNNNNNNNNNNNNNNNNNNNNNNNNNNNNNNNNNNNNNNNNNNNNNNNNNNNNNNNNNNNNNNNNNNNNNNNNNNNNNNNNNNNNNNNNNNNNNNNNNNNNNNNNNNNNNNNNNNNNNNNNNNNNNNNNNNNNNNNNNNNNNNNNNNNNNNNNNNNNNNNNNNNNNNNNNNNNNNNNNNNNNNNNNNNNNNNNNNNNNNNNNNNNNNNNNNNNNNNNNNNNNNNNNNNNNNNNNNNNNNNNNNNNNNNNNNNNNNNNNNNNNNNNNNNNNNNGGAGGCUCGAGCUUGGGAAGGGGGGAGGGGAACGAAGGGGUGGGGCUCCAGGCAAUCCUCACCUCCAAAGACAACUUGACCGGCAACACGGGCAGGCUAGACCUCUUCUAUGGCGAGGCCAACUUCGGCGAGGGGACGAGGUGGUGCGGGACCUUGGAGAUAUCUCCCCCGCGCGUGGAGCUUGUCCGGCGACGCCGCUGAAGAUGCCACUGCCACGACCAGCUCGAUCCUCCUUCGCUGGACUCCGAUCUGGACGAGGACUGAGCUAGGAGGAGGGAAGCGGGAGAGGAGAAGGCGCAGGAGAAGCGGCUGAGCCGGCGGCGCAGGGACCAGGGAGAGAAGAAGGCGAACGAAGAGGGGAUUGACAGAGUGGCGAAGAAGCAUGCGGGCUAGGUUUCCUUUUCUUUUUCUCCCAGCACUGCACAGUUGCUUGUCUCGUAGCUUGCCGGCAUGGCUAUGGCGAGGGCUCGCCCUUGAUGCGUAGGUUAAUGUAUUCGACUAGCGGGGCGCCUCUUGAGAGGAAGCUGAGCGGUGCUAGGUGGGACGCGCCCCUUUCCCUUUCCUGCAUAUACUAUGUAAUGUUAUUGCAUCAGAUUUAAAGUAACAUGCUCAGCUAAGUGCAAAGUGUGAUGAAUAAGUGAAACAGAAGGAAGCUGGUACAUUGGUGUAUGCCAAAAACUGAAUAUUAUAACAUAAACACAUGAAGUCAUCGACGUCUAUGGUAUGAAAUGCACAUGCACAAAAUUAGAGUGCACAUGAAGACAGAGCACUAUAGUGUCCUGAGUUGCAAGUCUCUAAGCACUGAAAUGAUCUGCAAUCAUAUGUACAAAGUAACCGAAUAAGAACAAGAAAUUUAGAGUAAAUGAGCUGUAAAAUUGUAAGUAAUGAGCAUUGGAAUUAAGGCAGAGUCAGUGACAGUUGGGUGCACUUGACAGGAAAAUCGGCGAGGCAUAAUAUGAAAUUAGAGUAAAUGAGUGCGUGCACUUCUCUUGGUGGCACCUAAAUGAAAAAAGAAACUAUUCACCUCUCGAUAUAUUCCCUAAGACCAUAUAAAAUCAGGAAGGUACUGAAGAGAGAUGCUCAAAUUCGAAGUUGCCAUGUCUAGGAAUGCUUGAAGCUUCAAAGAUUUCCUAUAAUACAGCAUGCCUCUAACUAUUCACAAUAAGAAAAACAUGUAAAUGCGGAAUCAACCAAAUGAUGGUAAAUUGUAGUUGAUUUUGGCCAAGCAAACGUCAGAUGAAAGAAACAUACAUGAGUGAACAUCACGAUUGGAUGUUUUAUUCAAAUUUAACAGGUUAAACUCACCAAAUACAUCUGGAUAUUUAGUGUUAAACUUCAACAGAUGGUCAGUUGUAGCUAGAUUCACACCACUGAAGCAAAAUUCCAUCUGCCACGGUUACAUCACACCAUCUUUUCAUCGUUACUAUUUAAAUUCCAAAAGCCUGCAACUCAUUUUUUUUGUUACGAUGUAUGCAUGAUUUUUAACUCAAGAGGAAGAGGGGAAACUAAAUCCAAGAAAAGAACACCAAGGAAGCAUCCAAAAUAGAGAAAGGAAAAAUCCAAAAUAGAGGCAGAAUCGAAGGGAAGAAACCCCAUAAAAAAUAGGAGAUCAAACGGUGAAAAAAAUCUAAGAGUCAAACAAUUCCAGGUAAGACCAAAUCGACGGCAAAAUAGCACAAGAGGGACUCACAUUAACAGGUAUACCAAUUCAGAAAGAAGUGUAAAGCAAACAGUGCAAUGGACCACUAGUAUAAAUUGGAUGUACACAAACAUGGGACUUAAACAGGAACUGCGAGAUGCAGGGUUCACGUGCAAACCCAAAAAACGGAAAACUGAAACCCACAACAAGAUUUUAUCUUCAUAUAUAUAUAUAUAUAUAUAUAUAUAUAUAUAUAUAUAUAUAUAUAUAUAUAUAUAUAUAUAUAUAUAUAUAUAUAUAUAUAUNNNNNNNNNNNNNNNNNNNNNNNNNNNNNNNNNNNNNNNNNNNNNNNNNNNNNNNNNNNNNNNNNNNNNNNNNNNNNNNNNNNNNNNNNNNNNNNNNNNNNNNNNNNNNNNNNNNNNNNNNNNNNNNNNNNNNNNNNNNNNNNNNNNNNNNNNNNNNNNNNNNNNNNNNNNNNNNNNNNNNNNNNNNNNNNNNNNNNCCUAUCUAUUAGUUGCUUCUUCCGAAUCCCCACCUAUCAAGCGUUUUCUUUGAAUAAACAAACACAAUAGUAUUCUCUGAAUUAUACUGUACAGUGAUAAUUAACCAAGCGACUGGAAUUAACAAUAUUAUGAGCUAUUGGCUUUUUAGUCAGGUAAAUAUCAUUCUUAAGACUACGGAAAACAGCAGGCGGCGAAGAAAACAUCUAUUGAUGAGAACUAUACACAUACUUAAGAAGGAAGUGACAUCUAUGGUAGCAGAACAUAUAUCAAGCUGUUGCAGCUACAUUAGCAGUUUAGCACAGUCCCUCCAUAAUACACAGGCUAGUGUAAUUUCACAAAUACAAUAAGCUAACAAUAUAUAUUUGGUAGAUGGAAAUGGCUGGAUCAUGACCAAUAUACGAUUACACAUCCGAUGAUGCAAAUAAAGAAACGAGGCCCAACAAUAGUGGAAAAUAAACCACAAUAGAACAUGUAUUUGGCGAAACCUCCAUACUGCAAUAUCAAACAUGAAUUGAAAUUAACAAUCUAGCAAAAAAACAUGACAGAUGCAGUCUUGGUCAUUUUUUCUUUUGUGACAUCCCCUAAAAAAAGUAAAAAGAAUGUUGUUCGUAUUUUACCAGAGAUACACUGAGCUGGGACAAAUCGGUCUGAAAUAAAAUAUGAUGGCUUCGGAGGAUUCGGAAGGCAAGAAAUUUGCUUUCUUCCAACAUAUAUGGUCUGCUGAACUAAACUUUGUUUCAGCGAGCUUUGGCAAAAAUCUGUAACUGCAAACAUCAAACUUGUGUGCCCUUCCUACAUCAAACUUUAAACCUGACGGAUUAAAUAUUUUAGGUUAGGCUGAGAUCAGUGUACUUUAUGAGUGUUAAGUGUACUUUCUAAAUAGCAGAGAAACCAUAACAUCUAAGCACAACCCAGCAACUUGUACAAGCUAACAUCAAAUCUGAAAGAGGAAAUGUCGAGAACAGGUGAAGGUACCAUGAUCCAUGACUGAGCAAAGUUAUCUAUAAUCCUCGGUGAAUAUCAUAAAUUAGGAUCAACAAAGCUGAAGAACAAACGGGAAAGGAACCUAGAAAGAUCUUCUGCCGGUAGAAUAUAACUGAUACACUAUCCUCAUUCUCGAGAUCAAGGUCGUUUCUUGAAUUGCAGUUUCCUCACUGUAGUAUGGGGUCAUUACACUGCGAAGAACAAAGUGUCAUAUGAAUCAUUUAGAGCCCAAUCUUUUUCACUGAAACUCUUAUGAUCACAUAACGAAUUUAAACAUAAGGUUUAUUAGAUAUUUGUUGUUGUGAACUGAUAAUAUAUUUCUGGUGUUGACAAUGUUUUGAUUAUGGAUGCACUUCAAGAUGGGUGGCACAGAUUCUGUUGUACAGGCCUCCACCUGGAAUUUCAUCACUUGUUAUUUUUGUUUAGAAUGUCUAGGUGCAUUUUUCCUUUAAGGUGGAAACAGAUGUACUUGUAUAAGCAACAAGAAUACAAAGCGCCACUGCCAUACAUUGUGGAAGUUCAAUGCUUCUGUUUACAAAAUCUGCUUCCCAAAACAGAAGGAUUUAUAAUUUUUUAUUACAAUCAAGCGGACAUGAGCUGAUGAGUACAGAUGUAAACAUGUACUGAGAGCAGCACCCUUUCAAAAGUGGAUCAUUUACAAGUUGGAUAGUUUGAUGGUCUGAAAUUAGUGGUCGUGUUUCAGAAUUGUUAUCGAAUAGUAGAGGAUAUAUAUUAACUUCUGAAAUUAGUGGCUGUUUGUCAGAACUGUUAUCGAAUAACAGAGCACAUAUAUUAACUUCAAUAAGUGGAGUAAUAUCUUUGGAUUCGCUGUGAGGAAAGAUUACCAAAACAAAACAGAAGUGAGUGCGACGACCCAGAUGAGGGCGCUCUUGAGCCUCUUCCCGACCGACCUAGAUGCAGGAGCAGAACACCGCGGAUCUAAUCAGCCAACGAAUAAAGCCGAGGCAGGUAGAGGAAGUAAGGGAGGAAGAAGACUGACUUGUCCUGGUCGCCCUCGUAGUAGAAUAUGGUGAACGGGAUGACGAGGAAGACGAGGACAGCGUCGAGGAUGUAGACGACGAGCCAGAGCGUCUUCAUGGGCAGGAUAAGGGCGCAGGCCCCGUUGUAGGCGGCGUGCUUGCAGGUCUGGCGGUUGGCGACGUCAGCGGGGAGCAUGAGGAUGGAGAGGACGGCGACGGUGAUGCCGAGCACGACGACGAGCUUGGGGAAGUAGGCCUGGUUGGCAUCAUCCGGGUGCUGGUAGUUGACGAGCAUGUAGACGCUGACGAGGAGCACCAGGAUGCUGACCACCGCCGCCACGAUCACUAGCGCCACGUUAAAAACCCCAUCUCCUCGGGGCUCCGGUCCCGGUUCCGGCCCGCCGCCUCGCCCCCGUUGGUCGGUCAGAUCUCUCUGUCCCUAGAGGCGGGGGGAUACAGGCUAGGGUUUGGGCGUGGGCGGGGAAUAGGCUGCUAUGGUGUCGGCAGCGGGGCGGCCACCGGCGGGGAGGGCGGGAUCCGCGCGGGGUGGCGGGAUUUGGGCAGGCGGUGGGCUCGGGGGAGGGCGGUGGCAGCGAAGCAGCAGGGAGGGGCUGGAGGAGAUGAAACGAAAGAGGUCGCGUGACACAGCGACAGCGUCGUCCAAUCCCCUCGCUGCCGAUUUAAAAAAAGGUAAUGAUAACUCCCGAACGUUCAGGAGUUAAGCAUGGCAACCCGAACGGGUUUAGAUGGCAAGUUUAGUUUGCGUGAGAUUAGAGAAACAUGGCAAUUUUCUGACAAAAGAAAUGAAAAAGGACGAAGUUGCCAUCCCCUAUCAACUAAAGUUGCCAUCCCUAUGAACUAAAGUUGCCAUGUAAAAACGUUCGGGAUGAAAUGCUCAAAAUCCGAACGUUCGGAAGUUAUUGGAUUCAAAAAAAAUCCCCUUGCUGCCAAUCGCUGGCCCGUUUCUUUUUUCGCCCAAUCGCUAGGUGAUGACGUGGCUAUCACGGGAAGGCGCCCUUGAUGCGUAGUCGAAUGGUUUUAAUUAAUAGGAAGCGAGUGCUUACUCUAGUUACUGAAUUAUGUACACCAAAUAAAGCCAUUUACACGUAGUUAAUGACAAAAAAAGUUGAUGUUUGCUACGCAAACGUGUAGUACAAAUUAAGAAGUGCAAGAUAAAAAAAAAUGCUGGUCCUUGAUUCGUUGUUGAUCGUCAGCAUGCCAUCAUCAAUUUGUAGUUAAUUAUCAUACAAAUUGGCUCUUUCAUAGAGUUGGAGGCUAGCUCCUUUGAUCAGCACGCGCUUAAACAUAAACAGCACGUAUAUGUUUUGUCUCCGGAGUUCAAUUCUUCAUCGGCCAGCAAAAAUGGCCCGACCGGGUAGAGGAAAAGGCAUGUUUGUUAGUACGCCUGGAGGAAAUGCCUUUGAUUAGGGCAUCUUCAACAGCGACCAGUAAAUUUCCUCCCGCGUUCGUCCACGGAUAGGGGAUCAGUCCGCGGAUACGGAUACAGGAAUCAUCUAUCUAACGCUGUCCGCGUAUAUUUCAAACACAUUUUUUUUAAAAAAAUAGGAUGAAAUUCAUGCAAACACAAUGGAUUUCAUACAAACCGGACAAAAAUGUUUACAUUUUGGACAUAUUUUUUUUACUAAAAACUCUACAGCCGGCGCCGGCGAAUAUCCACUCCGGCGACAUGGAACCCUUGACUAGUCUACUGCCGGCCGCAGCGGAUCUCCAAUGUCGUCCCCAUGUCCGGCAACUAUGAGCCCUAGAGGUAUAUGCUUCAGCGCAAAGAGCGGCUCGCCUCCCUACCGCUCAUCGGAGUGGAACAACCAGCUGAUGCUUCUGCCGAUGGAAAGGGUCCCUACGCUACACGGAUUAGAGUUGGUUUUGGGCUGGGAACGGCGGUGGCCUGCCAGAGGGCAAGACACCGACUGUGUAUGCUGGUGUCACCUGGUGUGGCAUUCGUGGGACCCAAGCGGCAGCGCCUCCUCGAUGAUGGCGGCGAGCGCGGACGUGUUGGACACCACCUCGUCGAUGUCCGUGCAGCCCGCUUCUUUCUCUGUAGGAAGGACGCGGUUACGCUCGCGUUGACAUCGGAUGACUCGGUCACAUGCACGGGAGGGGCGGUACGACAUGGCACCGCCAAUGGCAGCCAUGAUGCCCGCGCCAGCGUGCUCUCUCCCAGUGCCGACCUAGAGCAACUUGCCACUCCUCUGCUCGUGAACGGUGGGCUUGACGGGCCACCUAGCCAUUUUUUAUGCCAGACAACUCUUCUUCCUGCUCGUCAGAUGUCAUGGAUAAAACUGUUUAAGGAGGAAAAUGAUGAGUAGACGUGUGAUGCGGUUCUUGCCCAACAUCUGACAUUGUUUAAAUAGCGAGGGGACACGAGAGGAGCCAACUGGCGUUCUGUUUAAUGCCAACCGGCUCGCGAACGAACAUGUGGCUGGAGUAAUUAUCCUGGCACACACGCGGGUUUAAUGGUGGAAGGUGGGCAGUCUGCAGGAAUGAGGCGAGGAUGUGUGCUUAGCCGGCGUGCAGCAGGCGGCGCCCUCGGCCGGCGUGCUGCAUCCAUUGCGGAGGCAGUGAGAGGUCGCGUCCGCUCUGCAGCGCAUGAAUGCGGGCAGCUGGCGCAGAGCGGGAACGCGUGCGGGCGAGGGAGGAGGGGGUUUGGGCGGGUGGUCAGAAGAGGUCGUGGGUGUUGUCCGAACGCCUGCAAAGCCCCCCUCCAUGUUUGUCUCCAGUUUGCGGGAGAAAGUAUGUCCGAACCGUCUCCAAUGGACCAAUACAGGCCCGCAUUGGAUGGCACAACACGUCCGGACCAUGUGGUCCGGAUGGUUGUGGACAGUUUAAUUGAGGGUCGGCGUUGGAGAUACCUUAGAGUUUAUGAAUCCAUUGUGUUUUUCUAAUCAUAAAAAAGCACUUACAAUAAGUUAUAAGGAAAGACACGUUUAUAUGUUAGGUUCAGACUCCAGCUUUCGUUUUACAUAUGCUUUAUUCAUCCGACUGAUUCCAAUAGAGUGAGCCUAGCGUUGUUUUUCUGGAAACUCGCGGGAUAAGGAGACAUGCAUACACAUUCUUUCAAGCAAAUCACAUCCAUCCUUUUUAACUCAUUUUUCUUCUUUUAAUAAUAUAAUAGAUCAUUUAUAUUUUUAUCUGAAACAGUUGACGUGUAAUUUAUAUUGUAAUCUGAGGAUAAUGUUUGGAUUUUACUUUCAAAUAUAUUUGAAAUGGCCAUGAUGGAAUCACAUCCAUUUAUUUUAUUAUUAUUUGAAUUUGAUCCAAAAGAUAAAUAAUGAGUAGAGGUCAUGUCAACUUUUCUGAGAACUUUGCUAAUCAAAAUAUAAUUGUAUUUAAAAACAUCUAUUUUUUAGCACGCAUGAAAAAGAUAACACGUAUCUUUUCACACAUAAUGAACGGUUGUCAUAAGAACUCAUGCCAUGCCACAACCUCCCUCCGACCCUGCCAACAUUGUUGCAGCUGCACUCGCAAGCCUUAGCGUAGAUGAUAAUUUAUACAAUUUGCGUAAAACAAAAUAAGAUCUACAAAUGAAUAGAAGCUAGAACGUACAUUGGCAUGCACACACAUUGCAAGCCAUACUAAGCUGAUAAGUGUUAAUAACUUGUACAACAUAUACAACACUUAAGACAAGUAAAAGCAAUUUGAUGAGUCAUGGUCUAUCAAAGCCACAUUACUAGUCUAAUCCAUCUUAACAGGUCACACAUGAUUAAAAUCUUGUUUGUGUGCAAGUCAAGCUUAUCUAGUUUACAUGUAACAACUUGUAGAACAUUACAAAAUUUAUGUUUGCUAAUAACUUCUAGAACACUACAACACUUGACAUGUAAAAGGAAUUUGAUGAGUUAGCGUACUAAAGCAAGUUAUAUUACUAGUCUUAUCUACCUUAACAGGCCACACAAGAUUACAAACCAAGUUCUGUGCCAGCCAUGCUUAUCUAGAUUAUGCGUAACAAUUUGCAGAAAAUUACAAACUUAGUUUCAGAAAAAUAGGCAAUCUAGAUUAGUGUUUGAGCUGUAAAGUGAGUAAAAUGAGUCAUGCGUGUUAUCACACCUUUUUGGUUGUGGAAUGAUAGUGCAACAACAAGGAACUUUAAUGACCAGUUCAAGAAUACACUUGUAAGUAGUGCCACCGAACACAACAUACCAAAUUAUGAUUUUGAGAAGCAUCCAAGCACUUCCACACAAGCAAAUGCCAAUUGUGAAAGAGAUCAUGCCAUGGCAGCUAUAAAUAGGCCCGUAGCAUGACGAUCAUCCUUCCUCAUCCAUCAUUCUCAUAAGUAGAGCGCAUCAUUUAAGCCAAGCAAGCAGUGCUCAAUACAAAUCCACCAUGAAGACCUUUCUCAUCCUUGCCCUCCUUGCUAUUGUAGCAACCACCGCCACAAUUGCAGUUAGAGUUCCAGUGCCACAAUUGCAGCCACAAAAUCCAUCUCAGCAACAACCACAAGAGCAAGUUCCAUUGGUACAACAACAACAAUUUCCAGGGCAGCAACAACCAUUUCCACCACAACAGCCAUAUCCGCAGCCGCAACCAUUUCCAUCACAACAACCAUAUCUGCAGCUGCAACCAUUUCCGCAGCCGCAACUACCAUAUCCGCAGCCGCAACUACCAUAUCCGCAGCCGCAACCAUUUCGACCACAACAACCAUAUCCACAACCGCAACCACAGUAUUCGCAACCACAACAACCAAUUUCGCAGCAGCAGCAGCAGCAGCAACAACAACAACAACAAAAACAACAACAACAACAACAACAACAGAUCCUUCAACAAAUUUUGCAACAACAACUGAUUCCAUGCAGGGAUGUUGUAUUGCAACAACACAGCAUAGCGUAUGGAAGCUCACAAGUUUUGCAACAAAGUACUUACCAGCUGGUGCAACAAUUGUGUUGUCAGCAGCUGUGGCAGAUCCCCGAGCAGUCGCGGUGCCAAGCCAUCCACAAUGUUGUUCAUGCUAUUAUUCUGCAUCAACAGCAACAACAACAACAACAACAACAACAACCGUUGAGCCAGGUCUCCUUCCAACAGCCUCAACAACAAUAACCAUCAGGCCAGGGCUCCUUCCAGCCAUCUCAGCAAAACCCACAGGCCCAGGGCUCUGUCCAGCCUCAACAACUGCCCCAGUUUGAGGAAAUAAGGAACCUAGCGCUAGAGACGCUACCUGCAAUGUGCAAUGUCUAUAUCCCUCCAUAUUGCACCAUUGCUCCAGUUGGCAUCUUCGGUACUAACUGAGAAGAGAAGAACUCUAGUAGUAGAUAUAUGAUACACCGUUUUCUUAGUCCAUGGUUUGGUCGUUGUAGCGGUGAAAAAAUAAAGUGACAUGCACUAUCAUGUAAGAACCCGAACUAUACUAGUUCAAACAUGGGAAUAAAAGACAAACACAUGUCUUGUCUACAUAUGAUUGUUUGUUUGAGUUCCACUCAUGUGCCCACUCACAAGUUCACCCCUAAUUAUAUAUAUUAUGCAUUAAGUAGAUAUUUAUGUUGCAUUAAUCUAAAGAUAACAAAAUGAGUCUGAAAUUUGAAUUAAAUUGAAG
rnacentral:lncRNA from 1 species